GAUGAACGCUGGCGGCAUGCCUAAUACAUGCAAGUCGAACGAGAGGAAGGAAAGUUUGCUUUCCUGAAUCUAGUGGCGAACGGGUGAGUAACACGUAGGUAACCUGCCCAUGUGCCCGGGAUAACUUCUGGAAACGGAUGCUAAAACCGGAUAGGUAGCAGACAAGCAUUUGACUGCUAUUAAAGUGGCCUUGGCCAUGAACAUGGAUGGACCUGCGGUGCAUUAGCUGGUUGGUGAGGUAACGGCCCACCAAGGCGACGAUGCAUAGCCGGCCUGAGAGGGCGGACGGCCACAUUGGGACUGAGACCCGGCCCAAACUCCUACGGGAGGCAGCAGUAGGGAAUUUUCGACAAUGGGGGGAACCCUGAACGAGCAAUGCCGCGUGAGUGAGGAAGGUCUUCGGAUCGUGAAGCUCUGUUGUAAGAGAAAAACGGCACUCAUAGGGAAUGAUGAGUGAGUGAUGGUAUCUUACCAGAAAGUCACGGCUAACUACGUGCCAGCAGCCGCAGUAACAC
rnacentral:rRNA from 1 species